UACGGAGGAUUCAAGCGUUAUCCGGAUUUAUUGGGUUUAAAGGGUGCGUAGGCGGUCGGAUAAGUUAGAGGUGAAAUCCCGAGGCUCAACUUCGGAAUUGCCUCUGAUACUGUUCGGCUAGAGAGUAGUUGCGGUAGGCGGAAUGUAUGGUGUAGCGGUGAAAUGCAUAGAUAUCUGGAGGAACAUCAGUGGCGAAGGCGGCCACCUGGACCGGUAUUGACGCUGAGGCGCGAAAGCGUGGGGAGCAAACAGG
rnacentral:rRNA from 1 species